rnacentral:lncRNA from 1 species
AAUCUUUAUAGGAACUUUUUUCUUUCUUUUUUCUUUUUUUUUUCCCCAGUAGUCGCAUGAGGAUCUUCCAGCCUACUUCUAGACCUCUCCAUGAAUACACAGCAGAACUGAAAAAAAUGGGACCGAGCUGAGUGCCAAAUGGCCAUCAGAGGAUUUAAUUUGUCAAUAGGCUGCAUGAAUACCCAGGCCACCUCCAUCUGCUGCUGUGACAGAACACAAUUAACAGGAAAAUCCCAGUUCAAUCUUUGGAGACUUAAAGUGCUCACUCAGAUGCACUGAACAAGAGGAAUGCUUCAGCUCGAAUCAGCUCCUGUCUUCUUUGGAAAUGCUGGCCUUGAGGUAUCUUUGAGUCUUUGAAAUCAAUCUUUUAUUCAACCGGGAAUUUCUGAUGGCUUGGAGGUC